CCCUUAGACGUUCUGGGCCGCACGCGCGCUACACUGACACAGGCAACGAGCUUUCCUUUACCGAAAGGUAUGGGUAAUCUUUUGAAACUGUGUCGUGCUGGGGAUAGAUCCUUGCAAUUUUUGAUCUUAAACGAGGAAUUCCUAGUAAGCGCGAGUCAUCAACUCGCGUUGAUUGCGUCCCUGCCCUUUGUACACACCGCCCGUCGCUACUACCGAUUGAAUGGCUUAGUGAGGCCUCAGGAUCCGCGCUUAAUGUGUGGAGAAUUUGGACAAACUACGUCAUUUAGAGGAAGUAAAAGUCGUAACA
rnacentral:rRNA from 1 species